CCAACGCACUUGUGGUUCAUACCGCUGACGACUCCAUCUCAUUCAGAGAACCCACACCAAAUAUCAACUGGAAUCCUAUCUGCAGCCUGUGAUGAUGUCACCAGUGACUGGUGGCUGUCCAUUGGCUCUUGUCAUUCUGCUUCUCGUGUCCACGGAGCCUACAGCCACUGCGGUAGUGAAGAAAGUCAGCGACUGUGCGGAAUUCUUCCUGGAUGGAAAGCCACCAAAAAUAGAAAACGUGUUGGAUCAGGGGAACAUUCAGUACCCAGAUCGCUACGCGCCCAUAUGCCAGAAAUAUAACAAUAAAAAUAGGUUCAUGACACUAUAAGACAAAGUGAAGCAAAUCCCAGUGUUUUCUGCAUAUAAAUACACAGGGCACGAAAAAGGGAGAUGCCAAGACAAAUGGAAGCUUGAGCCGGGGCUUGAUGCCAAAUACCAGUCUGCAGAAAAGGACUACCAGGGACAGGGUAGUUCGUAUCAUAAAGGCCAUUUGUUUCCAUGUUUUCAUGCAAACAGCGAAGAUGAUCAGAAAUCCACAUUCAUGGUGACUAAUAGAGUUCCACAAGAUCCCUCAUUCAAU